CUCUCUCUCUCUCUCUCCCUCCCUGUCUCUCUCUCCCUCUCUCUCUCUCCCUCUCUCUUCAUCUCUCUUUCUCCCUCACUGUCUCUCUCUCUCUCUCCCUCUCUCUCUCUCUCUCCCUCUCCCUCUCUCUGUCUUUUUUUUUUCAAAGAAAGCACUUUAUUGGCAUUGUUUUACAUACAGCAUCGACAAAGCAUUUAUAAACAUAAAUGCAAACAUAUAACAACUGCAAAAAAUAAAAUAAAACAAUCUCCCGGGCUCUCUCUCUCUUUCUUGUGGCACAUUUGUGGUAGCUCUGAUGCAUUUAUCUUAUUACAGUGUGUGUGUUUGUGUCUAAGUGUGUGUGUCUUCUUUACUAACCCUUAAUGUCUCGUUCCCUUUCUGUCGGUCUCUCGACGUUGUGUCGAACCGACAGAUGGGGUUCACUCUUGAGAACCAAUCGUCUUCUGACUAUUUGGAAAAGGCCAAUGAAAUUGGCGAACAAAAUUUGCAUGCCGGACUAUGCCCCGGACAUCCGGGUAUGAAAGGAAGCCGGCGUGCUCAUUCAUUCACCUUUUGUUCUUCGAAACCUUCGAUCUUAUGAUCAUUCUACAGUCUCUACUGAUCUAUUUCUGCAGCGACUCUCCCCUGGGUGUCUCGGCAGUUCCGGAGGUGUUCGAGUUUUUUCCUUUUUUAUUUCUAAAAGAGCAAAUUUCUCCAGCGCGGCAUGUCCCUCUGUUCUCGUGGGUGCAAUGCGCUCAUUGAGGAGGGGGACGGACACAAUGUGUGUCUCAGGUGUUUGGGUCUCCGGCACGCUGAGGCAGCAUUUGUGGAUACGUCAUGCCCGCACUGCGGGUAGCUGUUUUCUUUGUGGAAGCAGCCGCCACCUCAUCAGCUUCCCGUCCUAGGAUCGCAGCGGCUACGGCCCUGCCGUCCCUGACGGCGAGCAGCGGGGGUGAUAAGGGGAGCUCCGUGAGCGGCAACCCAUCAGCCACAGGCUCGCGGACUGCUUGCGCCCCAUCUCGCUCGUAUGAUCUUCCCCAGGGGACGGUCCUACCCCAUCUUGUUCCUCCGCCACGUACUCGGAAGUACGUGACGACGAUGAGAUGUCGCUUGCAGCAUCGGAGGGCGACUUAUUGGCAUCCGAUCCCGACGAUUCCUCGGAGCUCCCUCCUUUGGGGGAUCGAGCCCAGGAUGAAGCGGACAUCGAGAUGUCAACCAUGCUCUCCCGGGCUCGCGGCUGGAUACGUGGUACCUCGGGUCUGGACGCGACUCCAAGCCGCACCCAACCCCGGUCCCGUUUUUCCCAGAGGUGCAUGAGGAGCUCAGUAAGACGUGGAACGCCCCCUUUUCGGCGCGUUUCCGUCAGACCAGCUCUGUCGCCCUCACUUCCCUCGAUGGUGGGGCAGCCAGGGGCUAUGUCGACAUCCCCCAGGUGGAAUGGGCCGUCGCGGUACACCUGUGCCCAUCAGGGAACUGAGGUUACAUACGUAACCAAGACGAUUUUAUUCUAGUGAGAGAGGAGGAGAUGGAAGCAGAGAAACACAGAAAGAGAGUACGACAGGAAGAAGAGUGGAGGGAGACAGAGCUUCACAGGCGUUGAACCCCACACCCUACUGCCAUCUCGCAGCUGAUCACCAUCCCCACCUUCCUGAUUUUAACGAGUGUGCUCAUCUGUCCCUGUAACAGUCAAACAAGAUUCAAGUGACCUCUGUGAUUUGUGCUCAAUACUGCAUUUAAAUGUGGAGGUAGUUGCACAUAUUUUUUACUUGUAUAUAUUUACAUACAUACAUAGCCUUACACUCUCUAUAUCUUUAUCUUAUGUUUAUUGUAUUGUAUUUCUUCAUUUUUUAUACCCAUAGGCCCUUAUUUAAAUCAUUGUGUACUGUAUUCUAUUGUGUUAUGGUCUCUAUGUACUGUUGUUACUGUUUCUGUGUUCUGGAUGCUCCUGUCACCAAAACAAAUUCCUUGUAUGUGCAAACAUACUUGGCAAUAAAGCUCUUU